GACGAACGCUGGCGGCGUGCCUAAUACAUGCAAGUGGGACGCAAGGGAACACACUGUGCUUGCACACCGUGUUUUCUUGAGUCGCGAACGGGUGAGUAACGCGUAGGUAACCUGCCUAUUAGCGGGGGAUAACUAUUGGAAACGAUAGCUAAUACCGCAUAAUAUUAAUUAUUGCAUGAUAAUUGAUUGAAAGAUGCAAGCGCAUCACUAGUAGAUGGACCUGCGUUGUAUUAGCUAGUUGGUAAGGUAAGAGCUUACCAAGGCGACGAUACAUAGCCGACCUGAGAGGGUGAUCGGCCACACUGGGACUGAGACACGGCCCAGACUCCUACGGGAGGCAGCAGUAGGGAAUCUUCGGCAAUGGACGAAAGUCUGACCGAGCAACGCCGCGUGAGUGAAGAAGGUUUUCGGAUCGUAAAGCUCUGUUGUAAGUCAAGAACGUGUGUGAGAGUGGAAAGUUCACACAGA
rnacentral:rRNA from 1 species